GCAAGAAAACAAGGGGGAAAAGAAAAAUAAAAACCUAGGUGGAGAAAUUCAAGGGAAAAUUGGUGAAAAUUCAAGGAAACAAGUGACAAAAGGUAAAAUUUCUUGAUUUUGACUUGUGAUCUACCUUUCCCAUGCUUUUCUCCUUAUUUUUCAUGGUUAGAUUUCAUGUUUUCAUGGUGAAUUCAUGGCUGCCCAAAUGGGUAUGGAGAGAGAAUGAAGUUAGAUUAAUUUAAUUUUAAGUUAUACUAGUGUUUUAAGUUAGUUUAGCAUAUUUAGAAACAAAACAACAAGAAAAGAAUUCAUUUUCCUCCAUUACCAUUAUUGGCCGAAUUUU
rnacentral:lncRNA from 1 species